GUUUUCACUUGCCCCCCAUUGCCUAUACCAUGUUGCCUUCCUGGAGUUGGUGGCCUUUGAGCUGGGCCUGGAAGAUUGGGUAGGACUUUAUGAAGUGGGGAUGGAGAGACAAGCUGUGCGAUGGGGAUGAAGAAGAUAACCCAGGUCAGAGGGAACAGCAUAAGCAAAGAUCUUGGCUCAACCAAGAGGCGGACUCACCGUGAUGUGAAUGCAGCUUGAGCAUCCAGGACUCUCCCCAGAUCCAGGGAGGGCCUCAGCGAUGUGUUCACGUUGUCAUAUUUUUAUAAAAUUUGCAAAGACUUUUUUUCCCUGCAAAACCUGGGAAACAAGAGGGAUGAAGGAAUAUAAACAUCCUAAAAGCCUCAUAUUGUUGAAGGAGACUUUGAAAUUCUUGGCGUUGAUAGAUACAUGCUCAGAUAUUUAUUAAACAUUUACAGAUACCAACCAGCAAAAUAAAAAGGGAAUUGGAACUUCUGUACCUCCCUUUUCUUUUAUCAUGUGGGAAAGUCUCAAAGCCCUGGCACUGGGAGCUGCUCAGAAGGCAAGGGCCACAUGUGCCCCCAGCUUCCCCCCACCCCCAGCACAGGGCCAGGAAGCCACUGCUGGUGGCUCCCUGUCUGCUGCCUCCCGAGCAGUAGGUCCCAGCGAGGUGGGGUGGUAAUAGGUUGGGCUGGGAGCAGAUUAGCAAACCCUCUCCUCCCCGCAAGGAAAUAACCAGGCCAGAUAAGACUAGCCAUAAAACAAAACAAGGGCUGAUGUAGAAAAGGAUUGGAUCAUAAGACACGAGCAAGCCAUAGCAUCACUCAUUACACAGAGCUGAGCUUUACUGCUCCCAGCACUACAGUCCUGGGCCUGACACCAGCCCAGGCAUCGGAGAACCAGGUGCCACCCCCAAAAAACAGUGUCACAGAACUAAACAUUAUCCACACUGCCCCAGGUGACACAGACCCAGGCACCCAGGAGAAAAUAGAGAAAUUAGGAUCCUAGUCACAAAGGUCACAGGGACUUUGGUGGCCCCUGGUCACAUGUGUGAAAUCUUGGCAAUGUGUAGGAAUCAGUGAGUGCGCGCUGAGUGUGUGUUUGUCUGAAAUUAGAAAAUACCCAAGUGUGGGCCUGAGUCUCCCUCCCUACCCCAGGGCCCAGACUUGCCCACCCAGGGCCCUAAGGCAGGUGUUGGGCCUCACCCUCAACCGUGGCUCCCUGAGGGCAAGGGCUAGAAUUUCCUGAGAUGGAGAGUGAGUCUCCCCGCUUCAGCUAAGGAUUCCUGGGGCCCCCACACAGGCCUCUUGAAGGCCCUGCCAAGUCUGGGUGUCCCACUCCUGAGGCCAGCUCCGUCCUCCCUGUGGGAGUCUACCCAGGGUCCAGCUCAGUGCUCUGCCUCCAGGGGGCGCCAAAGGGACACUUCUUAAAGGCUGCUGGAGUUGGGGAGGAGAGCUGAGUGUACCCUGACCGCACAGAUGGUCAUAGCUGAACGAGCCUGAAGGCUGGCAAGUUCAUUCCUACCUGACAGGAGAUGGCUAAGGCUCAAAGAAGGUGAUCCAGGCGAGUGCAGACCUGGGCUGGGGCCCAGCAUGGAGGGCAGCCUGGCCCACUAUGGCUCACUUUGCUAUCCUAGGGCCCCAGGGAAAGGUAUACUUCUUUCCACCCAGGAAAGCCUGGCCCCAGGACAGCUGGCUGGCUGGGGGAAGGAGGAAGAAGACCCUCUUGCUCCAGAAAUGGCCAACACAGCAAAUGCCCAAACAACUCUUUGGUUCAGACUAGCAAGCAAAGGCUGAGAGAGGAUCAAUGUCUUGCCUGAAGUCACACAGCAAUUUAGUGGAGGAGCCAGAAUGGAACACAGGGCUCUUGACACCCAAUCUUGGGCAAAGGACUCAGAGGAGGUACUGCUGUGGCUGCUACUCUUGGCCAGGUGGGGCCCCAAGACAGCUCACACUCGGGAAUCCUCUGGCUUCUUCCCUGGCCCCGACACUAGCAAUUGCUGCUCUACGGCAGGGCUGGAUCUGCUCUCUUUGGUCCUUGCCUCUUUGUCCUGCUGCCUCAGGACAGCCAAAACUAAGGCGAAGCAGAUCACAGAACCUGUUUUGAAGAAGAACUGGAGGCCGAUGAACCUGGGGAAAGAAUGGGGACCCUUGAACUCAAGAGCUGCCAGGCCAGGGCAUGGACGUCAGCAGUCAUCACUCAUUGUGAAAUCAGAGAUACUGAGGCCUCAGGGAGACAUUGACCUCUGCUGUGGCUCUUCCCUGGAGGAGGGGGAGAGGCUCUGCAGAGGAGCCCUGGGUGGGAGCAGAGGCCUGGCCAUCUUCAUCGCCCUGUCCUGGACUCUGCUCUGUGGCCUGGCCUGGCCCUGCCUCUCUCCGAGCCCAAGGGCUCAGGGGGCCUGACAAGUGCAAUUUUAUAUUGCGCCACCUGCCACAAGAACAAACGGAUUCCCUCUCCCCUGUUUAACUAUCAAAGCCCUUGUUUGACUUUUCCUUUUCUAGGAAGCCCCCUGUGGACAG
rnacentral:lncRNA from 1 species